AAUAUACUGAGACUAUAAAUAAAAAUGCACUUCUACUUGAAAAUCCAAAAUCCUGUUUGAAGGAGAGGAGGCUGAUGGUGGUUUUAAACACCUUAAUAGGCACGUGGACAUGAAGAUUUGUUGGAUGAGGCUUCGUAUUUUGGCUGCUCAUGCACAGCACGAAAACAACGUUUAGGAAUGCUUUUAGGAUUUUCACAGAUGAAUAUUUUUUUGGCAAGUUUGACUCCAUGGGAUCCAAAGGGGGAAAUAUACCUUCUCCUCACCAGCACAGCAAUAGCUGGUGACCCUAACAGUCUGUGCAUGCCAGGACAAGCUGCCAGGGAGCAGCAUGAGGCUGCUGGGCUCGGAGCAGGAACCUGUCAUUCCCACAAGGAGAAUGCAGUAUGGGUUGGACCUUCCAGAUGGAAGUGCCAGCACAUCGUCAGCAUCGUGAAAGGAAUGCCAUUCAUCUGGAAACAGCCCCUCCUUCCUCGAUAGCCCAACUAGACCAGUCACAUAACAACGCAUCCGGAGAUGUUCAGAGGCUG
ensembl:lncRNA